UACGGAGGGUGCAAGCGUUGUUCGGAUUUAUUGGGCGUAAAGCGCGUGUAGGCGGUUUCUUAAGUCUGAUGUGAAAGCCCUGGGCUCAACCCAGGAAGUGCAUUGGAUACUGGGAAACUUGAAUACGGGAGAGGGUAGUGGAAUUCCAGGUGUAGCGGUGAAAUGCGUAGAUAUCGGAAGGAACAUCAGUGGCGAAGGCGACUUCCUGGACCAAUACUGACGCUCAGGUGCGAAAGCGUGGGGAGCAAACAGG
rnacentral:rRNA from 1 species